rnacentral:lncRNA from 1 species
ACUGCUGUUUUUAAGGCCAGCCUAAUGAGCCUCUUGUGACCACAGGAGGAACAUGGUUCAGAGAGGGUCUUAUUUAAACGGUUCAUCCAUGCAGGAGGGGCAAUGCAUUUUCCCAAGUCUCAUGGAAGGGUUUCACAGCUUAGAGCUCAGCCUCAGAGUGGACUAGCACACAGCUGUUUCGGAGACUGGAGGAUAGCCUGCUGGGAUAGAGGUUUCCCUGGAAGAUACAGAGCUGGUAAGGCUAUCAAGGUAAAUUGGGCACAAAUGGUGGAGUCCAUGGAGUUCAGAAAGGUUUUCAGGCAACAGGGAGAUUUUGGAGUUUUUUGUUGUGUUUGUUUUGUUUUGGAACAGAGAAGUAACAGAAUCAGAUCUGUGCUCCUUGAUAAAAUGUAAAGAAUGAAUUUGAAGACCAGAGAUUGAAGGAUAGAAGGCAAGUUAGGAGAUCCAGGUAAGGAGUACAGAAGGCCAGAAAGCAGGGCAGUAGAAAUGGAAAGGAGGAGACAGAGUUUGAAAAUGUGUUGGAGUGGAAUAUGUAGGAUUUAGUGAGGGAUAGGAUGGAGAUAGAGAAACCCAGAGGCUUUAGGUCUGGGUAACUAGAACAGUGAGGCCAGCAGUCAAGAUAGGGAGGCAUCAAAAACACAGAACAUUCCCAGAGUCUGAGACAAUGGAUUUGGUUUUAGAUAAAAUAGGUAGUGCUGAUUUUAAAGAUGAUAGGCUUUGGGGGAGAAUAAUCUGAAUCUCCUGUAAAGCAGACACUGACUGGUCAGACUUAUAAACUUUUGACCCAGGCAGAGGUAUAUGAAAUUUAUAAUAAAUAAAUGAAGCUGACUGGAAUUGAGGGCCACUAGAUUUAGAGAACAUGACCCAUGUGAAGGCCACUUAGCUCCUCUGAGUUGCUGAUGCGCCAGAAUGGGGGCCAGUAUUGCCAAAUCAUCCGAUUCCUAAAGACAGGCCAGAAAUCAGAAUGUUACCUGAAGUCUCCUGAUUCUUAAAUGUUGGCAACCAAUUCUUUCUUUGCUGAAACUUGAAGUGAGCCAAUCCCAGGCAAUUCUGCAGAGCAUCCCAUCUGAUCCCACACAUUUGAGAAUGGAUGGACUAACCUGAAGUAUUACAGAGCAGCAGUGCAGAAGUGGGGACACAAGUAAAGGAGGAUCACCAAGGAAGUGUUUUUGAGCAACUGCAACAUUGCUGGCCCAUGCUAGAUGCUGUGGGAGAUAUAAGCUAUGGCUGCUGCUCUCAAGAAGCUGACAGCAUCGCUGCAUCAGAGAAAAAGGCAGCACACUGUGUGAUUAUGGGUGGUAAGUCUCAAGAAAGGGAGAAAUCAGCAUGCAACAGACAAGUGAAGAGAGGCAAUAUAAAAGCUCUGGGUCUUAAAUAGCUUUAAAGAGGAGGCAGAAGGUGCACAAAGAACUAGAGAUUUUCCUCCAAAUUCAAUUUCCAAGUCAAUAGCUGCAGUUCAACAGGUUUUGUGAUUUCUGCAGGAAGAUAGGCAUGAGGUUUCCGAGAGCAGGUGGAAAUGAGUAAAUUAUAGGUAGAACCUGCUUUCACACUAAUGAUCACUAACAGA